rnacentral:rRNA from 1 species
CCUACGGGAGGCAGCAGUAGGGAAUAUUGGGCAAUGGACGAGAGUCUGACCCAGCCAUGCCGCGUGUAGGAAGAAGGUUUCUGAGUUGUAAACUACUUUUGAUCGGGAACGUGUACCGAUAGAAUAAGCACCGGCUAACUCCGUGCCAGCAGCCGCGGUAAUACGGAGGGUGCAAGCGUUGUCCGGAUUUAUUGGGUUUAAAGGGUGCGUAGGCGGCUAAUUAAGUCAGCGGUGAAAUUCCAGAGCUCAACUCUUGAACUGCCAUUGAUACUGGUUGGCUUGAGUACAGAUGAGGUAGGCGGAAUUGACAGUGUAGCGGUGAAAUGCUUAGAUAUUGUCAAGAACACCUAUUGCGAAGGCAGCUUACUAAACUGUACUGACGCUGAGGCACGAAAGCGUGGGGAUCAAACAGGAUUAGAUACCCUUGUAGUC